UACGAAGGUCCCAAGCGUUGUUCGGAAUCACUGGGCGUAAAGGGAGCGUAGGCGGCGUGGUAAGUCAGAUGUGAAAUCCCGGGGCUCAACCCCGGAACUGCAUCCGAUACUGCCAUGCUUGAGUAAUGGAGGGGUAGCUGGAAUUCUCGGUGUAGCAGUGAAAUGCGUGGAUAUCGAGAGGAACACUCGUGGCGAAGGCGAGCUACUGGACAUUUACUGACGCUGAGGCUCGAAGGCUAGGGGAGCAAAAGGG
rnacentral:rRNA from 1 species